GGGCUUGGCUAACAAUGCAGAUUCUUGGGCUCUGUCUCAGGACUUUGGAAUCAGGAUCCCUGGGAGUGGUGCCCAGGAAUCUGCAUUUUCA
rnacentral:miRNA from 1 species